rnacentral:tRNA from 1 species
UGUUCCCGUGGCUCAAUUGGAUAGAGCGUCGGCCUCCGGAGCCGAAGGUUGCAGGUUCGAAUCCUGCCGGGAACGU